GGACAGCCAUCCGGGAGCCCCGCGGAUUUCAGCUUCCACCUCGAAAGUAAGGGUCGGUUCCACCGCGUCGCUCCCUCCUUCCCCUAGGGAUGCGCCAGGCGGGCUGCCGAGAAGGGGGCGCGCCGAGGGGUCAGCUCCGGGGCCAGAGGGCGGCGCCCGACCGCUGCGCACCGCGGCCUCCUCUGGCGGCCUCACGGUCAUGACCUUGCCGGGCUGCUCCCCACCUCCUGCUUAUUCGGUCCACCUGCCGUCGCCCCAACCCCUCUCCACGCCUGGAGUGGGGGAUCCCCGUCGUCCUGGUUGGUGGUAGAUUUAAUUUAUUUGCUCUCAGUUUCCCCAGUACCUCUGAAACUGGCAAAGUCCGCGGUCCACUGGGGACUGUGAUCAGUGAAGUCGUCCCCCGGACGCCGGACGUCUUGGAAAGCUCUGCGCGGCCAGACGCCCACAGCUUCUGGAUGCUAAGUUGCUGCGGGCAGGGAGGAAAGAAACUCGCCAGAUUUCUCAUCUUUGGCUCCCGAAAUUUUUGGAAAUAUAGAUGUGUUCCUGGAAUGUCUUCACCAGAUGUUUACCCAAGAAAUUACAGUCGCUGAGUCUUCGACAUGUGCGUGCAUUUUAAAAGCAGUAUUUUAGAUCUGAACCUAGUUAAUGAUUUUCUUUGCUUUCUUUUAUAUAUUAAAAAAAAAAAGAGCAUUUUAGUUUUGCCUGCAAGUGAUCCGAGUCUUUACAGAGUCUGCGUUAACGUCACUCACUUUCACUCUGGGACGUGCUAGUCUCACAGUCUAGUUUUGUUCAGACUUUAUUUUGCUCCAAGCUGCAUUACAAGCCACUUGUCCACGCUGCAGAAGGUGGGGGUAGGGGGUCGGGGUGUCAGGCCCUUUUGCUCUUUCCCUCCCCGCGUAAGCUCGCUCGAAGCAGCCCGGAAUCCUUCCCCUCGGCUCUGCGCGCGCGCGCACACACACGCGCGCACACACACGUGUGCCAUGCAUGUGUGGGGCCUACGGAUCUGUGUAUCCGCGCGUUUGUGAUUUAAAGUGACAGACCACGAGCUGGACUGGAGCAGUGAAUUAUUUUGCGUGAUAAAUCAACUUGAUUGUCUCCACACUGUACUUCCAUUAUUCACCCGAGCGCUCGGUGGUUACGGCGGACGUGCACUGCGGCAAAAAUGUCCUCGGAGCCGCUAAUUUUGUGGCCACUGCGGCGGCUGCGGCGGCGGCGCGGGGGCGCGAGCACGGAUUGAUUUUUCAAGAUCACGUCUCCUUCAGUGCAACUCGCCAAAUCGAAUCGAGUUGACUGCAGAAGCCUCACUGGAUGCCUGUGGAUUGGGUUUUGUACCUGAGAUUUUUUUAAAUCCUUUUUUCUCUGGAGGGAGGAGCCGAGCUGUUGGUGCAGGAAGGGGGAUAUAUACCUUUUCUGUUUUAUUUUCCUUUUACGCUCUUAAAAAAAAAAAAAGAAAGAAAGAAAAUGAAAAUGGCUACCACUGCUUCCUGAGCACUGGGGAGACCAGACCUUUGCAGAUUGGGAGAUGAUGCUUUAAAUCCUCUUUUCCCCCCCUCUGUUCCUCCCCCCUCCCUUCCUCAACCCCAUCCGCCUCCUGUCAGCUCUGCGACAGCAAGGGAAAAAAAUGGUCCUAGGCUCUUGUGCGGGUCAUUUGUCCUCAGUCUCGCUUUUUUCUUGGACAACUAGUUACCAAUUUUUUUUUCCUUUUUACAACCUGAUCCUUUUUAUCUGGAUUCAAGUUGUUAAUAAAAAUGUGUCCAGAAUAUG